CAAUAAAUAAUCUCAAGUAAGUAUCCCGAGUAAGGCGGGGCACGUGAAACCCUGUCUGAAUCCACCGGGACCAUCCGGUAAGGCUAAAUACUAGUCAGUGACCGAUAGUGAACGAGUACAGUGAUGGAAAGGCGAAAAGAACAGUGAGAAGCUGAGUGAAAUAGACCCUGAAACCGUUAGCUUACAACCAGUCAGAGCACAAUUAAUUGUGUGAUGGCGUGCCUGUUGAAGAAUGAGCCGGCGAGUUAUUUUUUGUUGCGAGGUUAAGGAGAUCAUAUCCGGAGCCACAGGGAAACCGAGUCUGAAUAGGGCGUUAAGUAACAGGAAAUAGACCCGAACCUUGGUGAUCUAACCUUGACCAGGAUGAAGCGUGGGUAACACUACGUGGAGGUCCGAACCAACCGAUGUUGAAAAAUCGGUGGAUGAGUUGAGGUUAGGGGUGAAAUGCCAAUCGAACCAAGAGCUAGCUGGUUCUCCCCGAAAUGCGUUUAGGCACAGCGUUGGAUUUAUCUUGCAGGAGGUAGAGCACUGGUUUUGUGCGGGCGUCGAAAUGAUGUACCAAACAAUGUCAAACUCCGAAUACCUGUAAUGUCAUUAUCCAGCAGUGAGGCUAUGAGUGAUAAGAUCCAUGGCCAAGAGGGAAACAGCCCAGAACGCCAGUUAAGGUCCCUAAUAUAUGCUAAGUGGUUAAGGAGGUAGAGUUACUGAGACAACCAGGAGGUUGGCUUAGAAGCAGCCAUCCCUUGAAAGAGUGCGUAAUAGCUCACUGGUCAAGUGACUCCGCGCCGAAAAUACACCGGGACUAAAGCAUAUAACCGAAGCUGCGUCAUAUAGUUUACUAUAUGGGUAGGGGAGCGUACUGUAGUAAGACGAAGCUAGAGUGAAAACACUAGUGGAUGAGGCAGUAGUGAGAAUGUCGGCAUAAGUAGCGAAAACAUUGGUGAGAAUCCAAUGCACCGAAAACCUAAGGUUUCCCACGGCAGGCUCGUCCGCGUGGGGUUAGUCGGAUCCUAAGCUCAGGCCAAACGGCGUAGGCGAUGGACAAUAGGUUGAUAUUCCUAUACUAUCUGAUAAUCGUUAUCAGAAGCGGAGGGACGCAAGAGGAUAAGCACGCAGUCGACUGGAAGAGACUGUAUAAGCGUGUAGCUAGGUUUGACAGGAAAAUCCGUCAAAUCGUUAAUGUGAGGCGUGAUGUGGAGAGUCUACGGACUCGAAGGUGUUGACUCCAAAUUGCCAAGAAAAUCUUCGCUCUCGAGAUUAUUGGGUAUCCGUACCGUAAACCGCCACAGGUAGGUUGGUAGAAAAUACUAAGGUGCGCGAGACAACUCUCGCUAAGGAACUCGGCAAAAUCACCUCGUAACUUCGGGAGAAGGGGUACCCUGGUAGCGUGAAGCGAUUUACUCGUGAAGCGUGAUAGGGUCGCAGUGAAUAGGCCCAAGCGACUGUUUACCAAAAACACAGGUCUCUGCUAAGUCGAUCAAGACGAUGUAUAGGGGCUGACGCCUGCCCGGUGUCGGAAGGUUACGCGGAAAUGUUAGAAGCAAUUCAAAGCAUCGAAGCUAAGCCCCGAUGAACGGCGGCCGUAACUAUAACGGUCCUAAGGUAGCGAAAUUCCUUGUCAGGUAAGUUCUGACCCGCACGAAUGGCGUAACGAUUUGGGCGCUGUCUCGGCGAGAGGCUCGGCGAAAUUGGAUUAUCCGUGAAGAUACGGAUUACGUGUACCAGGACAGAAAGACCCUAUUGAGCUUUACUGUAGCUUGAAAUUGAAUUCGGGUUCUCAUUGCGCAGUAUAGGUGGGAGACUAUGAAGCUUGAACUUUGGUUUAAGUGGAGUCAUCGUUGAGAUACCACUCUG
rnacentral:rRNA from 1 species